UGCAAGUCGAACGAUGAAGCCCUUCGGGGUGGAUUAGUGGCGAACGGGUGAGUAACACGUGGGCAAUCUGCCCUUCACUCUGGGACAAGCCCUGGAAACGGGGUCUAAUACCGGAUAACACUGCGGGCCGCAUGGUCUGCGGUUGAAAGCUCCGGCGGUGAAGGAUGAGCCCGCGGCCUAUCAGCUUGUUGGUGGGGUGAUGGCCCACCAAGGCGACGACGGGUAGCCGGCCUGAGAGGGCGACCGGCCACACUGGGACUGAGACACGGCCCAGACUCCUACGGGAGGCAGCAGUGGGGAAUAUUGCACAAUGGGCGAAAGCCUGAUGCAGCGACGCCGCGUGAGGGAUGACGGCCUUCGGGUUGUAAACCUCUUUCAGCAGGGAAGAAGCGAAAGUGACGGUACCUGCAGAAGAAGCGCCGGCUAACUACGUGCCAGCAGCCGCGGUAAUACGUAGGGCGCAAGCGUUGUCCGGAAUUAUUGGGCGUAAAGAGCUCGUAGGCGGCUUGUCACGUCGGAUGUGAAAGCCCGGGGCUUAACCCCGGGUCUGCAUUCGAUACGGGCAGGCUAGAGUGUGGUAGGGGAGAUCGGAAUUCCUGGUGUAGCGGUG
rnacentral:rRNA from 1 species